rnacentral:rRNA from 1 species
UACGUAGGGUGCAAGCGUUAAUCGGAAUUACUGGGCGUAAAGCGUGCGCAGGCGGUUAUGUAAGACAGUUGUGAAAUCCCCGGGCUCAACCUGGGAACUGCAUUUGUGACUGCAUCGCUGGAGUACGGCAGAGGGGGAUGGAAUUCCGCGUGUAGCAGUGAAAUGCGUAGAUAUGCGGAGGAACACCGAUGGCGAAGGCAAUCCCCUGGGCCUGUACUGACGCUCAUGCACGAAAGCGUGGGGAGCAAACAGG